GGCAGCAGUAGGGAAUCUUCCGCAAUGGACGAAAGUCUGACGGAGCAACGCCGCGUGAGCGAAGAAGGCCUUCGGGUCGUAAAGCUCUGUUGUUAGGGAAGAACAAGUACGAGAGUAACUGCUCGUACCUUGACGGUACCUAACCAGAAAGCCACGGCUAACUACGUGCCAGCAGCCGCGGUAAUACGUAGGUGGCAAGCGUUGUCCGGAAUUAUUGGGCGUAAAGCGCGCGCAGGCGGUCCUUUAAGUCUGAUGUGAAAGCCCACGGCUCAACCGUGGAGGGUCAUUGGAAACUGGGGGACUUGAGUGCAGAAGAGGAGAGUGGAAUUCCACGUGUAGCGGUGAAAUGCGUAGAGAUGUGGAGGAACACCAGUGGCGAAGGCGACUCUCUGGUCUGUAACUGACGCUGAGGCGCGAAAGCGUGGGGAGCAAACAGGAUUAGAUACCCUGGUAGUCCACGCCGUAAACGAUGAGUGCUAAGUGUUAGAGGGUUUCCGCCCUUUAGUGCUGCAGCUAACGCAUUAAGCACUCCGCCUGGGGAGUACGGCCGCAAGGCUGAAACUCAAAGGAAUUGACGG
rnacentral:rRNA from 1 species